rnacentral:rRNA from 1 species
UACGGAGGGGGCGAGCGUUGUCCGAAUUUACUGGGCGUAAAGCGCACGUAGGCGGCUGGGUAAGUCUGCCGUGAAAGCCCGGAGCUCAACUCCGGCGGGUCGGUGGAUACUGCUCGGCUAGAAGGCGCUAGGGGAAGAUGGAAUUACUGGUGUAGCGGUGAAAUGCGUAGAUAUCAGUAGGAACACCCAUGGCGAAGGCAGUCUUCUGGGGCGUACUUGACGCUGAGGUGCGAAAGCUGGGGGAGCGAACGGGAUUAGAUACCCCGGUAGUCCCAGCCCUAAACGAUGGAUACUAGGUGUGGGGGGUAUCGACCCCUCCCGCGCCGUCGCUAACGCAAUAAGUAUCCCGCCUGGGGAGUACGGCCGCAAGGUUG